rnacentral:misc_RNA from 1 species
UCGUAACAAGGUCUCCGUUGGUGAACCAGCGGAGGGAUCAUUACCGAGUUUACAACUCCCAAACCCCUGUGAACAUACCACUUGUUGCCUCGGCGGAUCAGCCCGCUCCCGGUAAAACGGGACGGCCCGCCAGAGGACCCCUAAACUCUGUUUCUAUAUGUAACUUCUGAGUAAAACCAUAAAUAAAUCAAAACUUUCAACAACGGAUCUCUUGGUUCUGGCAUCGAUGAAGAACGCAGCAAAAUGCGAUAAGUAAUGUGAAUUGCAGAAUUCAGUGAAUCAUCGAAUCUUUGAACGCACAUUGCGCCCGCCAGUAUUCUGGCGGGCAUGCCUGUUCGAGCGUCAUUUCAACCCUCAAGCACAGCUUGGUGUUGGGACUCGCGUUAAUUCGCGUUCCCCAAAUUGAUUGGCGGUCACGUCGAGCUUCCAUAGCGUAGUAGUAAAACCCUCGUUACUGGUAAUCGUCGCGGCCACGCCGUUAAACCCCAACUUCUGAAUGUUGACCUCGGAUCAGGUAGGAAUACCCGCUGAACUUAAGCAUAUC